GACGUAGGGCGCGAGCGUUGUCCGGAUUUAUUGGGCGUAAAGAGCUCGUAGGCGGCUUGUCGCGUCGACUGUGAAAUCCCGCGGCUCAACUGCGGGUCUGCAGCCGAUACGGGCAGGCUAGAGUUCGGUAGGGGAGACUGGAAUUCCUGGUGUAGCGGUGAAAUGCGCAGAUAUCAGGAGGAGCACCGAUGGCGAAGGCAGGUCUCUGGGCCGAUACUGACGCUGAGGAGCGAAAGCGUGGGGAGCGAACAGG
rnacentral:rRNA from 1 species